AAAAAUUUAGGAAGUACACACCAUCAUUAAACACAGUUGUGAUAGCUGGAAUAAUGAACAAAUCCAAGGAACUCUUUAAGAGCCCUAAAUAUUACAUAACAGACAUCAAUAAGGACUGCCACAAAAUAAAAAAUAAACAGAAAAAAAACACCAGUCUUUCAAACAGCAAACCAGCUUCCACCAAAUUUUUCAGCACUCCUCCCAGUCUUCAAUUCAGCCAGGGACCAUUAAUCAGAAGAAGAAGAAUCAUCUUCACCUUCACUUGUAUCUUCACCUUCACCUUCAGAGUCUUCUGAGCUUCCAGAACUUCCAUUGGAUUGGGAUUUUGAUCUUGUAGUUGAG
rnacentral:lncRNA from 1 species